rnacentral:sRNA from 1 species
GCCAGGUGUGGUGGUGCACACCUGUAAUCCCAGUGGCGCGGGAGGCUGAGGUAGAAGGACUGUGAGUUCAAAGCCAGCCUCAGCAAAAGUGAGGUGCUAAGCCACUCAGUGAGACCCUGUCUCUA